rnacentral:rRNA from 1 species
GGGAUCCAUCAGGCUUUGCUUGGUGGUGAGAGUGGCGAACGGGUGAGUAAUGCGUGACCGACCUGCCCCAUACACCGGAAUAGCUCCUGGAAACGGGUGGUAAUGCCGGAUGCUCCAGUUGAUCGCAUGGUCUUCUGGGAAAGCUUUCGCGGUAUGGGAUGGGGUCGCGUCCUAUCAGCUUGACGGCGGGGUAACGGCCCACCGUGGCUUCGACGGGUAGCCGGCCUGAGAGGGCGACCGGCCACAUUGGGACUGAGAUACGGCCCAGACUCCUACGGGAGGCAGCAGUGGGGAAUAUUGCACAAUGGGCGCAAGCCUGAUGCAGCGACGCCGCGUGAGGGAUGGAGGCCUUCGGGUUGUAAACCUCUUUUAUCGGGGAGCAAGCGAGAGUGAGUUUACCCGUUGAAUAAGCACCGGCUAACUACGUGCCAGCAGCCGCGGUAAUACGUAGGGUGCAAGCGUUAUCCGGAAUUAUUGGGCGUAAAGGGCUCGUAGGCGGUUCGUCGCGUCCGGUGUGAAAGUCCAUCGCUUAACG